GUUCAGGAUGUCCUGAAGAUAGAGAUCCUUGUCUGGCAGUGUACCUGCAGUCUUCCUCUGCUUCCUAGGAACCCAUUUAUUAUCGAUAUUUACAGUUACUCAUCAAAUUUGGACAUAUUUCUGUGGCCUAUGAAUGCUUUGUACUGCUGAUUUGCUAAAGAGAUCCUGAAUGCAAGGUGACACGUCGAAGUUGAACAAAAUCAUCAGAGGAUACUGGUAACCRUUCUUCUUUCAUGUGAGUGUGGUCCACAAGCAGAGUCGUCCAGUGCUUCAUGGCCUUUCUCUGAAGUAAAGAGAGGAGUUUGGCAUGGAAAGCACUCUAGAUGACUUAGGAGGGUAUGGAGUCUCAAUCACGAGAGCUUUUUAAGGACAAUUUCAUGAACCAUCUGCCACGAAUGAAGUAAACCUGUUUGUGUCUUUAGGGAAGGAAGGAGGGAAAAAAAGGCAAUUUGCCUCUGUAGGAAAGGACAGUUAGAGUAGGGAAAGAUUUUUCUGUCUUUGGGUGGUCAAAURCUGGAAAAACCUCCCAAAGAAGUUGAGAAUCUCUAUUCUUAUAUAUCUUUGGGAUACUCAGAACUCAACCGGGCAUGGCCCAAAGCAAUCCUCUUGUARUGGAUUGAACCAGGGACCUCCAGAGAUAGUUGCCAACCUAUAGACUCCAAUCCUAUGACUUCCAUGGAUUAAGGACAUKUUAAUUGGUGAUUUCAUUGGAGAUAUGAUUAGGAGGUAACCUCUAGGGGACAAUAAAUGAGUCACUGCUCAUGGUGCACACUAUUCUCUGAGCCAUGUUGUAAAACUUGAAUAGUUGUAUGAGAUACGCAUGCUGUGCUCCCUUUGUGGAGAGGAGACCAAAAUAAUCACA